rnacentral:rRNA from 1 species
UACGUAGGGUGCGAGCGUUAAUCGGAAUUACUGGGCGUAAAGUGUGCGCAGGCGGCUUCGCAAGUCGAGUGUGAAAUCCCCGAGCUUAACUUGGGAAUUGCGCUCGAAACUACGGAGCUGGAGUGUGGCAGAGGAAGGUGGAAUUCCACGUGUAGCGGUGAAAUGCGUAGAGAUGUGGAGGAACACCGAUGGCGAAGGCAGACUUCUGGGCCAACACUGACGCUCAUGCACGAAAGCGUGGGGAGCAAACAGG